AGGAUGAACGCUGGCGGCGUGCCUAACACAUGCAAGUCGAACGUCCUGUCUCGCAAGAGGCAGGGAGUGGCGGACGGGUGAGUACCACGUGGGUUAUCUACCGUGAGGUGAGGAAUACCGGCGAGAAAUCGCCGACAAAACCGCAUAGGCUCGAUGCAAGUCGAGCAAAGCUUUCUCGCAAGAGGGAGCGCCACACGAGGAGCCUGCGCCCGAUUAGCUGGCUGGUGGAGUAAUGGUUCACCAGGGCGACGAUCGGUAGCUGGUCUGAGAGGACGAUCAGCCACACUGGGAUUGAGAACGGCCCAGACUCCUACGGAGGGCAGCAGUGAGGAAUUUUCGUCAAUGGGGGCAACCCUGAACGAGCAACGCCGCGUGCAGGAAGAAGGUCUUCGGAUCGUAAACUGCUUUUCUGUGGGAAGAGAACGGACGGUACCACAGGAGGAAGCCCCGGCUAACGUACGUGCCAGCAGCCGC
rnacentral:rRNA from 1 species